rnacentral:rRNA from 2 species
UACGUAGGGCGCAAGCGUUGUCCGGAAUUAUUGGGCGUAAAGAGCUCGUAGGCGGCUGGUCGCGUCUGUCGUGAAAACUUCCGGCUCAACCGGGGGCUUGCGGUGGGUACGGGCCGGCUAGAGUGCGGUAGGGGUAACUGGAACUCCUGGUGUAGCGGUGGAAUGCGCAGAUAUCAGGAAGAACACCGAUGGCGAAGGCAGGUUACUGGGCCGUUACUGACGCUGAGGAGCGAAAGCGUGGGGAGCGAACAGG